UAGUUUUGCCCUGAAUUAAACUUCUCUAACUUUGACAAAAUUUUUACAAAAACGUAUUAACAUCUACAAGCUGAAAUAAAUGCAUAUCAAAACAUAUUUCAUGAAGAAUUUAAUGAACUAACUUGAUAUUGUAGAUGUUGAUGCAUUUUUCUAUAAAUUUGGUUAAAUUAGAGAAGUUUGAGUUAGGACAAAGCUAA
rnacentral:pre_miRNA from 1 species